UACAGUUAACCCAUAGACUACAAAUUGUGUUAGCAGUUACUUAUGCGUGUCAGUAUGUGAGUGUGAGUGAAUGCGUGAGUGCCGCCGACAGGCAAUCAAUACGAACUAGAAAAGGAGAGGGACAAAGAGACAGAGAGAGAGAGAGAGUGAAGGCGAGCAACAGCCGUCGGCAUUUAUACGGCAGGCCGCUAUUUAAAGUUGACGUUGAUGACGUAUGGACAAUAGAUGUCGCCACUUAAAGCCGUUAACCAGCGGCCACGGAAGCAGACGGCGGAAAUUACAAAUGCGUUGACAGGCGGCGAACAACCAAAACGGCACAGCGGCUGCCAGCGACUGCAGCUGAAGAUGUCUACGCAACUAUGGCCGUGCCACGCGCGUUAUCAUUGGACACAUAAUUGCCCUCAAUCGGGCUAAAUGAAAACAACUCGUUGACGUUGCCGCCCCACAAACAAAAAAAAAAAAAACAGAAAAAAGUGUUGCGAGUAAGAAAAGCCUAUUACUAUAUCGCCUAUAAGUAACCGCACACUCCGCUCAUAUCUCAUAUAACAAUUAAGCGCUACGCGUCGCUUAAUUGAAAUGUUUCAAGGCAAACAAAUCAACGGGACAGACCGAAGCGAAGCCCCAACAAAUUGUGGCACGCAAAUUGGAAUUUCAUUGUCUUCCACUGACAACGGCCAAAUUAGCCGCGCAUUUGGAUGAUCCUUGGCUAUACAAUAUCAUAGAUAUACUGCCAGGCCCACAUAUCCUUGGUUAUGCCGCCAUACCAUAGAUGUAGU